rnacentral:lncRNA from 1 species
UUCUCUCUCCUCCCUCUUUUCUUCCUCCCUCUCGUUGGCUCCCUCUCUCUCCGGAUUUCCUCUUGCUGCUGGACAGAACCGAGCAGACCAGAGGAGCCGAAGAAGCCGCCGGACCUCACGCCUUCGCCCGUCUGCUCGUCGCCGCCGCCUCGCGCCGCCCGCGCCCGCUUGCCGGUCAGCUCGUCUCCCCGCUCCGCCUCAGCCCGCGUCCCCAGCAGAUCUGAGAACCCCGAACCAGCAAGCCGAAGACCAGUUGAAGCCAGCAGCUCCACUCGUCGCCGGAGCUCACCGCCGCCGCCGUCGUCCGUGCGCGAAGCUCGCGCGCCCGCGUGUCGCCUCGCUGGACAGCCGUCGCGCGCUGCUCCGCCCUGCUCGCCCGGUCCCGAGCUCCUUCCCCUCCGUCCAGCCGUCGUCGCCGUCGCUAGGGCCGCCGGGAGUCCCGCCGGAGCUGUCGCCUUGCCCGCCCGAGCUGCCGAUGUCCUUCCUCCGCCGUUCCUCCGCCCGAAUCGCCGCCGGACAGCCCUCCUCCGCCGUGAUCAGCAGCUGGAAAAAUGGGUAUUCCAGCCCGCGUUUGGCCCGUUUUGGCCGCCUUCCUGAGCCCGGAUGCUCGGCCCGCUUUGAGGAAAGUCGAUCCUUGCGUCGUCCUCGUUGUUUUGGUCCGCUCGGCUUGCUAAUCCGGUGAGUUUAACUCACUAAAUCUUGAUUAGAGGGUUAAUGAUGCCCUAAGUGUGCUUAGUCUAAGUUAAGUAAGUUUAGGUGGUUAGAUUAGUUUAUUUGGUUGAUGAUUAGAUUAUGGUGUUUAAUUAAGUUAAAGUGUGUUUAGUUUAAGGUUAAGUAUGUUUAUUUUUAAUAUAAAGCCUUGAUGUGACAUAAUAGGGUUUUAAUUUUGAAUUAUUUAAUUGCUUCGAAAUUCUGGAAAUUUAUAAUAUUAUAUUAAUUCCGAAAUUAUUAAAAUAUUAUUAUAAAUAAAAAAAACGGAAAAAUUAUUUUUGACCCCGGUUACUCAGAAUUUCGUACCGAUCGCUGCUGUGUAGUUGGAUUUUGAAAUUGAUGAUUGGAUAUUAUAAAUUGAGUGUGGAUCGUGAAAAAUAUGAAUAUUAUUAUUUAAUUAUUUUCGGAAUAAAUUUAAUUAUUUAAUAAAUUCUGAAAAUUUUGUUAGGACCCUAAACUCUCAGAAUUUCGUGCCGAUUGCUGCUGUGCAUUUAGAAAUUGAUAUUGAUGAUUGGUUGUGGCAAAUUGAGUGUGAUUGCGAUAUAUAGGGACUCUUUAUAAAAUCCUAAGUAUGGAAAUGAAUGGACGAUUGGCCGUGAUAUGCCACCUAUUAGAGGUCGCACCCAGUGGGGCCGUGAUAUGCCACCUAUUAGAGGUCGCGCCCAAUGGGGCCGUGAAUUGCCACCUGAUAAAGGUCGCGCCGAGUGGGGCCGUGAUGCCACUGAUUCUAAUUUUGCCGAAUAGGGCCGUAAUUGAGAGCAAUGAUUGAUUUGCUAGAAUGACAUGUAAUCGACUAAGUCGAUUGAUCGCUGAGACGAUCCAAGGGGUUUAAUUGUUUUGAUAAUGUGAUUGUGCCAUGGUUGUUUGGUUAUCAUAAUUGUACAUGGUUGAAUUAUAUAUAAAUUGUGUUAACCUGCAGAUGAAGGCUGAGGCGAGGUAAGUCUUCUGUGUGAUGUGGCUAGGCCACCCAAGGCGUAUUUUCUUUUUAAUGGGGUUUAGGGGGUUGAACUUGCUGAGACAUCGUCUCAUCCUGGUUGUGGGAUUAAAAUUUCAGGUCCCCGGUGAACGGAGUGACCAGAUAGCUUUGGUUGGCCUUGAGGAGUUGCAGAUGUGAAGUCGUAAGAUUGGAGAACGUGUUCGACUUGUAGGUCGUAGGACAGUUCAUUUUUAAGAGCCGGUCUUUUGUAGACUGUUGGUCGUAGACCCUUGUUUGUAAUU